rnacentral:lncRNA from 1 species
AUUUUGUACAAUGUGCUAAAUGGAAAUUGCAUUGGAUUAUUUUAUAUUUAACACAUUCCAUCAAAACACUUUCUGUAAAAUUAUCCUACAAUCUGCAUGUGGGUUUAACUGUGAAAUUCAGUGUUGUGAUAGUUCAAUGAAGUGAAUUCUUUCUCUGAAAAUACUAUGUUGAUAAAAUUAUUUAUGUGUUCAACUGAACUGAU